rnacentral:rRNA from 1 species
CAAAACGACUCUCGGCAACGGAUAUCUCGGCUCUCGCAUCGAUGAAGAACGUAGCGAAAUGCGAUACUUGGUGUGAAUUGCAGAAUCCCGUGAACCAUCGAGUCUUUGAACGCAAGUUGCGCCCGAAGCCACUCGGCCGAGGGCACGUCUGCCUGGGCGUCACGCA